ACUGAUUUCUUCAGCAAAGUACAAAAGUUAUAAAUAAAUUCACAGAAAUUAAUAGUAUUUCCAUAUAAUGACAAGAUUCAGAAGGGAAAUGCAGAAGAAAAAAAGUUUCAUUUAAAAUAACUACAAAAUACUAUAUAUAAAAGUCAAUAUAACAAAGAAUGCUUAGUACUUGCACAAAUACAAUUAUUACUUUAAGGAGUGCUUGUAAAGAAUUUAAGUAAUAAUACUGAACAAUUAUCUGCAUGAAAAAAACAGCUCAAUGACUUUAUUUUUUCUUUUUUCAACACAAUCACAUCUUUCCCAUCUAAAUCCCCUCCAGAUGGGAAUAUGUGAAAACUGGGACACUAAUACAUUGUUGGUGGAGUUGUGAACUAAUCCAAUCAUUCUGGACAGCAAUUUGGAACUAUGCCCAAAGGACUAUCAAAGGGUGCAUACCCUUUGAUCUAGCAGUGUUUCUACUGGGCUUAUAUCCCAAAGAUAUUUUACAGGAGGCAAAGGGACCCACAUGUGCAAAAAUGUUUGUGGCAGCCCUCUUUGUAGUGGCAAGAAACUAGAAACUGAAUGGAUGCCCAUCAAUUAGGGAAUAGAUGAAUAUGUUAUGGUAUAUGAAUGUUAUAGAAUAUUAUUAUCCUAUAAGAAAUUAUGAGCAGGAUGAUUUUAGAGAGGCCUGGAGAGACUUGUAUGAACUGAUGCUAAGUGAAUUGAGUAGAACCAAGAGAACAUUGUACACAGCAACAAUAAGAUUAUAUAAUGACCAAUUCUGAAGGAUGUGGCUCUUUUCAACAAUGAGGUGAUUGAGGUUAGUUCCAAUGGUCUUGUGAUAAAGAGAGUUAUCUGCACCAGAAAGAACUGUGGGAACUAAGUGUGGAUCACAAUAUAACAUUCUCACACUUUUUUUUGGUUUGCAUUUUGUUUUUUCUCAUUUUUUCCCUUUGUGAUCUGAUUUUUCUUACGUAGCAAGAUAAUUAUAUAGCUAUGUGUAUAUAUAUAUAUUGGAUUUAACAUAUUUUUAUCAUGUUUAAUAUAUACUGGAUUGCUUACCAUCUAGGGGAGGGGGUUAGAGAAUGGGGGGGUAGGAAUUUGGAACACAAGAUUUUGCAAGGGUCAAUGCUGAAAAAUUAUCCAUGCAUACGUUUUGAAAAUAAAAAGCUUUAAUUUAAAAGAAAUGUUUUUUAAAAAAUACAUCCCCUCCAAGGUUAGGGGGAAAACCCAACUUGUAACAAUCAUAGUAAAGUAAAAAGUGAUCCACUCACUGAACAUUUUAAAAAAUGUAUGUUUUUAUCUAUAACUUGAGUCUAUCACAUUUCUUGAUAAGAAAUGGCUAAAAGAAUUAUUCUGAAGUAGACCCAGUUAGCAUGGUUUUGUGAUUUUUUGCAGCUUCAUUGAGGAACGCAAAAAAGAGCCAAAAACAAUGGACAGUAGGAAAUUUAACAAAGGAAGAGUAGAAAGAGGGAAAUGGGACAAUGAAGUAGUAGAAGGCAAGGGCCUUAGGAUAGCAUCACAGCAGUUCAUCAACAGGCCAAGCUGGCACAGAAGCCAAUGAAGAAAAUGCUUGGGUGACGUCCUGGCAGAGGGACUGGAGGCAUGAUAUGUACCAAGAACAAAGUCUGUAGCUGAGAGAAGACAGAAAGUCCGGAUGGCAGUUGACUGGAUUCAGAGAAGGAAUUUCUGAACACAAAUGGAAACGUUUACAAGAGAAGACGAGAUCAAGGUUAUGGUCGUUUCUAAGAGGAGCUGAGGUGGGGACAGAGAAUCAGGUGAUGGGAAAAACCCAAAGAAAGGGUCCCUCAGAGGGGAGGGUGCUGGAGAGAGUAUCAAAGUAAGUGCAAGUCCCUGGUUAUGCGGGCAGAAGCUGAGGAGCAGAAAGACAAAAAAGCCAGGCUCUUCACUCAGUGAGCAUAGAGGAAGAAUGUUUGAGAAGCUGGUAUAAAGCAGCAAUUAGAAUCUUAAUUAGGGAGGAGGUGUGGAGUGGCAAGGCUCCUGAAUGAUGGUGGUAAAUAAAGGAUGGAAUAUAAGAGGCCACAGGAAGCGAGGGGAAUCUCAAAUCCCCCAACCACACACCAAAUGAGAAGCAGGGCGAGAAAGUACAACCAGCGCUGGAAAGGGCGGAUUGAUUAGCUGGGUCACUGGUUCUCAGUAAAAUGGAAGGAUUGGGAAAGGAAAAGGUUUAAGAUGAAAGCAAAUUUUAUCCCUAAAGAGCUGCCAGCGUUCCAAAAGUAGAGUGGAAGAAGUGGUCAGAUCUUCAGUGGAACAUUGGAGUAAUAGACAGAGUAAGGGAGGUGGAUAGGAAUAAGGUGAGUGGGUCCUAAAAUACCAAAAAUAGGGUUUCAGGGAAAAAGAAAUCACAGACAGAUAUCUGGCCCCAAAUCCAGAAAAGUAUAGGUCCAAGUAUGAAUUGUAUAUGAAACAUCUGUUUCCAUAGACCAAUAUAAAAAAUAUAAAUACAAACU